UUUGGAAUUCAGUUGAAUUAUCUUUCAUUUUCUCAUUUAGGGUUUCCUCAAUCUUCUUCCGAAUACCAACUUUCCCAAGAAAGUUCUAGGGAAAAAAUCGCGUGAAAUUAGUAGCAUUGUGAGUCGAUCACAGGAUUCUCCAGUUCCUCAGCUGUGAAAUCCAAAAUGCCGGUUCACCGAUCGAAAUCGGUGAAACACGAGUCCGCGAAGCCGCUCCGACGAGACCCCUAUGAAGUUCUCGGCGUCUCUAGGAACUCCACUGACCAGGAUAUCAAAAGCGCUUAUCGAAAAUUGGCUCUCAAGUAUCAUCCUGAUAAAAAUGCAAAUGACCCAAUAGCUGCUGAUAUUUUUAAGGAGGCCACUUUUUCGUAUAAAAUUUUGUCUGAUUCAGACAAACGCCGCCAGUAUGACACAGCUGGAUUUGAAGCUGUUGAAUCAGAAAGCCAAGAAUUGGAGGUGGAUCUUUCGAGCUUGGGUGCUGUGAACACCAUGUUUGCUGCACUUUUUAGUAAAAUUGGUGUUCCAAUCAAAACAACAGUAUCGACGACUAUUCUGGAGGAGGCACUGAAUGGCAUGGUAACAAUUUGUCCACUUGCUUUGGGACAACCUCUACAUAGAAAGGUUGAAAGACAGUGUGCUCACUUCUAUUCUAUUAGCAUAACAGAGGAGCAAGCACGUUCUGGGUAUGUGUGCCAGGUGCAGUCACCUGACAAAAGCAAAUUCAAGCUAUUAUACUUUGAUCAAGAAGAAAAUGGUGGAUUAAGCCUUGCACUUCAGGAGGAUAGUGCAAAAAAGGGAAACAUUACAUCUGCCGGGAUGUAUUUUCUUUGUUUCCCCACUUAUCGGUUGGAUCAAGCAGCUAUUUCUAUGGCAACUACCAAAGAUACAGAUAUGGCCUUCUUCAAGAAAUUGGAUGGCUUUCGUCCAUGCGAGAUAACUGAACUAAAAGCUGGGACCCAUGUCUUUGCUGUUUACGGUGACAAUUUUUUCAGAAGUGCAAGCUACCAAAUAGAAGCGCUUUGUGCUGCACCUUUUGUAGAAGAGAAAGAGAGUCUUAGAGCCGUGGAAGCUCAGAUUUUAUCCAAGAAGGUGGAACUAUCAAAUUUUGAAACUGAAUACGAAGAGGUCCUGAAACACUUCACAGAGAUGACCAGUAGAUAUGCUCAAGAAAUGCAAGCAAUUGACAUGCUUCUUAAGCAAAGGAAUGAAAUUAAAGCCUCCUACAGAGUUGCUCCAGUGAUCAAAAGCAGUAGUAGAAGCAAGAAAUGCAAGGAGGCCAAAGAGGAAGGGCAACUAAGAGGUUUGAGGUUAAGGAGAACCGGUAGCAAAAGCAAAAAUAGAAGCUCAUCCCAGGAAGCCAAAGAAGAUGGCCAAUUAAGAGAUGAGUCUACAGCUAGAGAAAAGCCAAGGAAGAAAAAAUGGUAUAAGAUCCCAUUGAAGGUGCACAAGCGGUAGCCUUGCUAAAAUAUGAAUUAUAGUCACUUUGGAUAGUGUGAGGAAGCUCAGAUCAUAUGCAGUGGGGGACUCUGAAUCUUUGCUAGCUGCUGUACCCAGAUUUUUGCCACCUUCAUUUCAUAUCACUUGUGAAUGAAGGGUUCGAAGAUGCAUGCGUGAGAAAAAUCUAUCAAGAUGUUGCUUCCUAUUCAUGAUGAUAGUUGUUGGCAACCCGAAUAUGGUUUGCAAGCUAGAGAUAAAAGAGAAAAUAAAGGAGAAAAUAUAAAUAUAAUUAUAACAGUGUUUUAGUUAUUUAAAAAAAAUAUCGACGAUAAAUUUCAGACAAUAAAGAAAGUGAGUUUCGCUAUUUGUAUAGAAAGAGCUUUACAGGAAGUUGUAUAGAAUCAAUAUAUCGUGAGAUUUUGGUGGUAUGUAGGAUAUAAAUUGAAACAAUUUAUCGUGAUAAAUUACUAAUAAAUUGGAUUAAAUGAAAAUAAGGAGAAGAUAGAGGGAACACUGGCGAAACCCUUCUUC